UACGUAGGGAGCAAGCGUUGUUCGGAUUUACUGGGCGUAAAGCGCGGGCAGGCGGCUUCGCAAGUUCGAUGUGAAAUCUCUCAGCUCAACUGGGAGCAGCCAUUGGAAACUACGAAGCUGGAGUCUGGCAGAGGUAGGCGGAAUUCCGGGUGGAGUGGUGAAAUGCGUAGAGAUCCGGAGGAACACCAGAGGCGAAGGCGGCCUACUGGGCCAGUACUGACGCUGAGCCGCGAAAGCCAGGGGAGCGAACGGG
rnacentral:rRNA from 1 species